rnacentral:rRNA from 1 species
UACGUAGGGUGCGAGCGUUAAUCGGAAUUACUGGGCGUAAAGCGUGCGCAGGCGGUUUUGUAAGCCAGGUGUGAAAUCCCCGGGCUCAACCUGGGAAUGGCAUUUGGGACUGCAAGGCUGGAGUGUGGCAGAGGAGACUGGAAUUCCUGGUGUAGCAGUGAAAUGCGUAGAUAUCAGGAGGAACACCUGUGGCGAAAGCGGCGCACUGGACCACAACUGACGCUGAGGCGCGAAAGCUAGGGGAGCAAACAGG